UUGGUCUCCAAACGUCCCGUACGUACUCGCAGUUUGUCACUUGCCUCGCUGGUUAUAAGAAGAGUUAGAAAAGGGACUGUUGUCUAUAACUGGAGAGCAAAAAUCAGGAACAGAGCAGAAAUAAACAGCAGUUUCAACAGGGAGAGGAGAAAGUUUUACUGGAUAACCGAUAAUUUUAGAUAUCCAUAGAAAAAGGUCAUUGAGACUCUCAACGCCAGCUAUGGUUCGAGUACAGAGUCGAAGGGAAGUGCUGCUUCUCACUCGAAAGGAAAUACUGAUUUGCUUCGUUUUCCUCGCCGUCUAUCUGUCUCGGGAUGUUCAAGGAGAAGAGAUAAAUUGCCAAGACCUGCAGCGAUUAACAGCCCAAGCGAGUUUAACCGUCCCGGUGCCGUCAGCGUCGGCCCCCACCCCCAUGAAUCUGUGGUAUGAACCAGACGCUUCUUACGACCAGGCCAAGCUGGAACUCAAGUUCGGAAAGUACGAGUUCGCGUUGGAAAACGCCAAGAGGUCUUGGAAGUUGUCCUUCAAGGUGUCCAAGAGGAAAGUCAUGGAAAGUCGAGUCUACUACGAAUGGAUCAAGCCGCAGGGCUGGGCUCGUAUCACGCUCAGCAGUUCCCGAAGAGGGUACGGGGUUGAAAUUGGGGCCGACCAGACGCUCGACGUUCACCUGGGAGGGUUGGAGAUGGACACGAUUGAUUCUAUAGAGAUCAGUGGGGCCAGCGUAACAAUAUCUACAACCUGCAUCAGUACCAAAGAGAGCCAGAGAGUUGCAGCAACUACUUUGCCACCAACGCAAACAACAACAAUAACUACCACAACAACAACUGAGCCAACAACUACUGAAGAUACCACCACACUAUCCCCUGAUUAUGAGACUACGGUCGAGGACGACACCGAUACCAACAAUUCGACGUCAAAUCCUGACCUUGACAUCGUCGUACCCUUUGCGUCGAAAAAAGCUCUGGAUGGACACGAGUGCACCAACCUCCCCAUCUGGGUGUGGGUCUGUCUAAGCGUCAUGGUGGCUUUCUUCGCGUCGUCCCUAGUCCUCUUCGCCUGUGUGGUCGUCCUGUACCGCCGGAAUAAGUCGCUUUUGGCUUCUUCCGGCAACGAAAGCAAACAGGGAGACGUUCUCCCUGCACCCCCAGGCGGUUACGGCCAGCAAUCCAAGGACCUGCAGUUCAUCAAACCGGGAAACGACGACAGCAGCAUAGUGGCCAUCGCCCCGCCCCAGCCAUCCUGGGCGUCGUACACGCAGACGCUCGACGUGCCGUCGGGAAACCAGAUGGCGCCAAACGUGCUGUUCAGCACCGGCCCUCGACCCUGCGAAUACAAGCGGUCUACUUCGUGCCCUGACAGAUCUCCCUCCAUCUCCUUCCCUCCGCCUCCUGCGACGCCUCCCCCAGAACGCGACGAGACCAUUCCGCUCUUCAGUCCAGAUGGGUCUGUCGAGAACAACCGGACGUCCUCCACCUCCUCCGGCAGAGGGAGGCACUCCGUGAGGACGUCGUCAGCGAGGAGGAAGAGGCACGUCCAAAAAGGUUUCGACGCAGAUGACGAGAGUAGCACUGACAACUAGGCCUAGGGAAUCAUUUUGUCUUCGAGCGUGUGUUUAAACGCUCAGUAUAUUUGGUGUUCUAGGUCACAGGGGCAGGUCACUGACCUCGACUGCUAAUGCACGUGUGAGCUAAUCGGUUCAGCAGUCCAUUGGCAUGAAGAUACUGCUUUGUUCUUUGUCAUGGCGUGUACGGCAGGUACAGGUAACCUCUGCCUUGAAAGAGAGAAAAACCAAAUAAAUCAAGACGUGCAAAUAGAUGCGUUACCACUAAUGCCAUGAUGGCAGUCACUCGACUAAUAUGGACUCCCUACACCAGUUUGUUAAGCAGUUUGGCUUGACAUUAUUAUACUGUUUAAAUGCAAGCUGCGUUUAACAUGUGGGCAGCACAAGAAGUUUCUUCUUCCUAGCUUAAACCCAUUUUUAUAUGGGGUCGCCAUUGCGAAUGAGUCGUCUCCAUCGAUUUCUGUCCUGUGCCUCGUUCUCAUUUAUACCUUUCAAUACCAUAUCUUCCCCUACAAUCACGCCAUCUCUUUCUUGGUCUUCCCUUCUUCCUUCUACCCCGCACUUCCAUUUCCAUCGUAUGUCUUCCAACAUGACGUUCCUCCCUUCGUAACAGGUGUCCAUACCAUCGAAGCCUUCCUUCCUGUAUCUUCUUCGAUAUUUCAACUACCUUUGUCGAUCCACUUAUAUACUCAUUUCUAAUCCUAUCUUCCCUUGUUACUCCCGACAUCCAUCUCAACAUUCUCAUUUCUGCUACAUCCAUCUUCUUCUCCUCUGUUUUCCUCAUACUUGCUGUUUCUGUUCCAUAUAUACUUCUUGUGUGGGCAGCACAAGAAGUAUAUUAUAUAUAUUUUAGAGAUUGACAGAUGUAGGUGCGUGGUACACACACACAUGCAUAUAAUAUAUGUGUUUAUAGAUUUUAGCAAGAAAAUCUCGUUCAUUGUAGUAUUACACCUCUCUAAAAAAAAAAAAAUACCGAAUGUUUCAUGUACAUUUUUAUAAUAAAAUUCUUAUAAUGAUCCCAGUAAUUUUAAUUGAAAUA